AUUGCUGAGUCGCAACAACCAACAAAAAACAUCAAUAUAUUGAAAGGAAACAUAAUAUGACAGUAACAAAAACGAAUAGCCCAUCGACAAGUACACCUACAGUCGAUAACAUAACCGGAAAUAAAAAAGAGGAGGACAAAACUAGAAAAAGAGAAGAACUACUAAAUAAUGAGGAUGAUAUUACGUUAGCAGAUCGGGCACCAGACGGCGGCUGGGGAUGGGUGAUUGCAUUGGCAAUGAUAUUUACCUAUCUCACCACGAUUGGCCAAAUAAUGUCAUUUAACUUAAUCUUUGGCGAUUUCAUCCAAGCUUCUGGACAGGCUGUCUUGGCAUCAAAUCUCUUCCAUGCCUUCUUCAUGAUC